UCCGCAUGACUGAAGGUACCUCCAUGCAAACUCAUGUCCUAAAGAUGAUUGAUUUGAUCACUCGUCUAGGAUAGCUGGAUUUUACCAUGGAUGGUGAACUGAGCCAGAAUUUGAUUCUGCAGUCUCUCUCUGACUCUUUUCUUAGUUUGUUAUUAAUUAUCAUAUGAACAAACUGAACAUUAGCUUUCUUGAGCUACUAAACAUGCUGAAAAUAGCAGAGAGCAUUUCAAGGGUGAAAAGGCUCAAGUCCUUCAUGUUGAUAAGAUUAGCAAGAAGGCAAAGAAGGGUUCUAAGAAAAAGAUGAACUCUUAGGCUAGCAUCUCC
rnacentral:lncRNA from 1 species